GGGCCUGCUCUGGGCACUGGCGGCGGCCCGGCUCCUCCCCUCUGGCUUGACGACAAAUUGAGAGACUCGGGUGUCUGUGCCUCACCCCCCCACCAGGAGACCACCUGUUUCUGUCGCCGCUGGUAUUGAUGAAGUUCUCUCCUCCGCCGCUUUCUGAUGACAUCAGAUCUCUGCCAUGUUGGUAACCUAUGUGAAUGGCAGCAUUUCGUUCCCCUUGCCGGGCAACCAAAGCAACGGAGAAGGAAAUACAGUCUUCAAGAUGUUACCAACUUGUCCAAGGUGACACAACCUGCCCAGGUUCAGCUAACUCCAUAGUCUUGACUUGCUACAAGCUCCAUAAUAGUUGGGAGAUGAUAUCAAGAAUCUUCAUCUUAUGCCUAUGUCCCUUAUACUAAAUAUGCCUAUGCAGAGCAACAGAGUUUUGGUAAGUUCCAACAAGAGUGGGUAAAUAAUGGCAUUAUUCUAAAAAUACACUUAGAAAUGUGAAUUCAUAUAGGGUCUUGUGGUGAGCCGUGUUUGUAGACCGUUGCCGCCAUUAGAAGAUGGCGCCGGUCUCCGUUGUGGAUCUUGGUAAACAACUCCUUAUUAGGGAAGGUUGGCACGCUGUCCCUCAACACCCUAUGAGAAAACCCCGCGUGGCAGCUUUGGAUUGGACUUGAGUAAGCUUUAUUAGGCUAUGCUUGGGCGCUCGGCGGGGGGUCACUAGAAGAUGAUACAUGAAACAAGGCCUGAAUAAACUGCUGAAAGAAGAA